GAUGAAGAACGUAGCGAAAUGCGAUAAGUAGUGUGAAUUGCAGAAUUCAGUGAAUCAUCGAAUCUUUGAACGCACAUUGCGCCCUUUGGUAUUCCAAAGGGCAUGCCUGUUCGAGCGUCAUUUGUACCCUCAAGCUUUGCUUGGUGUUGGGCGUCUUGUCUCUAGCUUUGCUGGAGACUCGCCUUAAAGUAAUUGGCAGCCGGCCUACUGGUUUCGGAGCGCAGCACAAGUCGCACUCUCUAUCAGCAAAGGUCUAGCAUCCAUUAAGCCUUUUUUUCAACUUUUGACCUCGGAUCAGGUAGGGAUACCCGCUGAACUUAAGCAUAUCAACAAGCGGAGGA
rnacentral:misc_RNA from 1 species